UACGUAGGGUCCGAGCGUUGUCCGGAAUUACUGGGCGUAAAGAGCUCGUAGGUGGUUUGUCGCGUUGUUCGUGAAAACUCACAGCUUAACUGUGGGCGUGCGGGCGAUACGGGCAGACUGGAGUACUGCAGGGGAGACUGGAAUUCCUGGUGUAGCGGUGGAAUGCGCAGAUAUCAGGAGGAACACCGGUGGCGAAGGCGGGUCUCUGGGCAGUAACUGACGCUGGAGGAGCGAAAGCCGUGGGGAGCGAACAGG
rnacentral:rRNA from 1 species